UAAUGAAUUUCUUAGACCUUGUAUGCAGUGUUCUUGAAAAUCGAACAUGUUUGUGCCCUAUGCAAGAUUCUCGUUAAAAGAACGCAUACAUAUGUAUAUUAAAUAACUACAGAUAAAAGUCGGUGCUUUUCUUAAAGGACGACGUUAUUUCGCACCCUUCUUGAAAUAUACUGUAUGUACAAAAUUCAUACAGUAUUGUGACGCGCAUUAGCUAGAUUACAUAAGAACUUUAAUAUCAGCAAAAUCAAUGUUACUACGUUAGCAAAUAUAUAUAUCGUUUCCUUUCACACAUUUUACAUUAUUUAAUGAGUAUAACGAAUGCAUAUACAAUUUUUAAUUACAUGUUUCUGAAGAGACA